UCUUGGAACAAAUACCAUUAUGGA
rnacentral:piRNA from 1 species